rnacentral:rRNA from 1 species
UGGGGAAUAUUGCACAAUGGGCGCAAGCCUGAUGCAGCCAUGCCGCGUGUAUGAAGAAGGCCUUCGGGUUGUAAAGUACUUUCAGCGGGGAGGAAGGUGUUGUGGUUAAUAACCACAGCAAUUGACGUUACCCGCAGAAGAAGCACCGGCUAACUCCGUGCCAGCAGCCGCGGUAAUACGGAGGGUGCAAGCAUUAAUCGGAAUUACUGGGCGUAAAGCGCACGCAGGCGGUCUGUCAAGUCGGAUGUGAAAUCCCCGGGCUCAACCUGGGAACUGCAUCCGAAACUGGCAGGCUUGAGUCUUGUAGAGGGGGGUAGAAUUCCAGGUGUAGCGGUGAAAUGCGUAGAGAUCUGGAGGAAUACCGGUGGCGAAGGCGGCCCCCUGGACAAAGACUGACGCUCAGGUGCGAAAGCGUGGGGAGCAAACA